rnacentral:rRNA from 1 species
UACGAAGGGGGCUAGCGUUGCUCGGAAUCACUGGGCGUAAGGCGCACGUAGGCGGCUUGCUAAGUCAGGGGUGAAAUCCUGGAGCUCAACUCCAGAACUGCCUUUGAUACUGGCGAUCUCGAGUCCGGGAGAGGUGAGUGGAACUGCGAGUGUAGAGGUGAAAUUCGUAGAUAUUCGCAAGAACACCAGUGGCGAAGGCGGCUCACUGGCCCGGUACUGACGCUGAGGCACGAAAGCGUGGGGAGCAAACAGG